rnacentral:rRNA from 1 species
UUGACGGGGACCCGCACAAGCGGUGGAUGAUGUGAUUAAUUCGAUGCAACGCGAAAACCUUACCUACCCUUGACAUGUCCGGAAUCCCGAAGAGAUUUGGGAGUGCUCGCAAGAGAGCCGGAACACAGGUGCUGCAUGGCUGUCGUCAGCUCGUGUCGUGAGAUGUUGGGUUAAGUCCCGCAACGAGCGCAACCCUUGUCAUUAGUUGCCAUCAUUUGGUUGGGCACUCUAAUGAGACUGCCGGUGACAAACCGGAGGAAGGUGGGGAUGACGUCAAGUCCUCAUGGCCCUUAUGGGUAGGGCUUCACACGUCAUACAAUGGUCGGUACAGAGGGUUGCCAACCCGCGAGGGGGAGCUAAUCCCACAAAGCCGAUCGUAGUCCGGAUCGCAGUCUGCAACUCGACUGCGUGAAGUCGGGAUCGCUAGUAAUCGCGGAUCAGCAUGUCGCGGUGAAUACGUUCCCGGGUCUU